CUAACAAUGAAUUAUCAAUAUUUUAUUUAUCCAUAUUCAUCAGUUCUGAAAAAUCCUCAGAACUAAGCCACAUAUUACAUUAUUUCUCAUCACAACCCUGAUCAAUUUGUAAGGAUUCCAAUGUUUGGUCACCUCAACUGUGAAAACCAGGAUGUUGGAUGAGAUAUCUUAUGUUGAUAUUUUAUACUAUGUUCAAUUUUGAAGAUAAAUAUAACAAAAACCUAUUUGUUUUCUGAAAAACUAAUUUCUUCAUUUUGUAACUUCCUUGGAAUAUAAUGCUUCAUUUUUAAAGUCUAUUUUAUUGUAUGGAUUUUAAUAGUUUUACUGAAGGAUAAUUUAUACACAAUAACAUAUACAUUAAUUUCAGGUGUAGAUUGAUGAAUUUUGGAAGUUGAAUAGUCAUGUAACCUCCAUCAAAACAAGAACUAUGAAAAUCCAACUAUCUCCAGCACAAGGGGAAAGCUACAAAAGUGAAGGACUCACUUUAGGAAUAACGUUAAUACUCUGAAGAGGAUGGCUGGCGGUGAGAAAGCUUCAUUAAAAGAUAUUCCAAAUUACCGUCUGUUGCUGCUGCUGCUAAGUCGCGUCUGUUGUGUCCGACUCUGUGCAACCCCAUAGACAGCAGGCCAUCAGGCUCCCCGGUCCCUGGGAUUCUCCAGGCAAGAACCCUGGAGUGGGUUGCCAUUUCCUU
rnacentral:lncRNA from 1 species